GCGCGCACCUGCCUGUAACAGCGCAAAUGACUCUAGAAAUCAGGCUCUGAUGGAAGUCCUAAGGGUUAAGGUUUUUACAAGUUACCGCAUGCAUUGCAAAGAGCCUUGCCUGAAAUAAUAACUUAUGAGCGCUAAAAUCAAAGGCUGCAUCUGCAAGUCAAACCGUCAUAAAGACCGAUAGGGACAAGAAAAGUGGUCGUAUUAUAGAGGUUACUUUUCCGUAUCAGUGAUCGUAUCGUAAAAGUUCCCGUAUCUGUGGUCGUAUUAUAAAAGUUCCCGUAUCAGUGGUCGUAUUAUCGAGGUUCCCCUAUCAGUGGUCGUAUUAUCAAGGUUACGUUCUCGUAUCAGUGGUCGUAUAAUCAAGGUUCCCCUAUCAGUGGUCGUUCAAGGUCGUAUCAAGGUUACGUUCUUGUAUCAGUGGUCGUAUAAUCAAGGUUCCCCUAUCAGUGGUCGUAUUAUCAAGGUUACGUUCUUGUAUCAGUGGUCGUAUUAUCGAGGUUCCCCUAAAGCCGCAGCUUCUUUCUAU